AUUUGCAAUGAUACCACAAAGUACCAACUUUUAACCCUAAUGUUCUUGUUCCUCAUCGUCAUCCUCGAAGAAGCCGCCAAGCUAGAGCGAGUAGGAUCAUGCAGAUACUCAAGAGUUCCUUUGCUAGUAGCAACAGAUUCAGGAGCUUCAGGUCCUGCUAGCAAGGGUUGAUAGCUUCCAGCUUAUUUUUGGAGCCCACUAGGUAGCUGUUCGGCGUUCGCAACCCAGUGUUUCUCCAUCUUAUCAUUAUUUCUUUCCCUUGUACUGGAUUUUGUAAUAGACUCUAUAGUCCCUUUUUCCAUAUUCCUAGACUUGUAUUAGAUGCUCAUGACUGGUGAU